AUGCUCCAGCUCGCACCCUGCCUGCUCGGGACUGUUAAUUCUAUAAGGGUGCGCGGCAUCGAUCGUGCAGAAUAGCAGUAAACGACCUGGAAGUGGGAUCCAGCGCUGAUGCUGUGUGGCAGCCAGAGAGCAGCUGUGUACAUACAAAUCCUCCUGAAGAUCUCCAAAACAAUGACAUUCCCCUCGAUGCAGUGAGCAGCGACACCCACCUCUGGUCCCACCCAGUAACGUCUCUUUGUUGAACGACAGCACAGGCUUUACACCAAGGAUCUCAGCAGCCACUCUCUGGAAACAAAGGUACACCUGAAGAAAGACAUAACAAGAAAAACAGGAUAAGUACAGCGCCCUCUGCUGGUGACGACGAGACCCUGCUGUCAUGCGCUGAGCUGAUGUGGAAAGAUGAGAUGUUCACUACAUAAUAGCCGUGCCGGGAAAAGAAGAUGAAGUGGGUGUCAGAGACUGCAGCUGCGGUUCUCAAGCUCUCGAUGAGUCAACUAAACAUUGAAAAAAAUAAGAAGAAGGAUCACAGUUUUCAAGCUGGCAUCCGAUUGUUAUUACUGAUGUGAGAUGCUGCUACCUGAUCGGACACGAGAUUAGCUAACUAAGCUAAGCUAGCUAACAUGUCAGCGAAGCCAAGGAGGACAUCACUAAUGCUAACAUCUCGGCCUGCCACGAACAUGAACCUUUCGUCCUUGACAUCUCCAAAACCCUGCAGGACACCCCAAAACAAUCUGCAUGGACACAGAGCACUGCAGGUAAGAGGGAAAAAUAUGUAUUUCUGUUUGUAGGGUGAACUGUCCCUUUAGGUUUUGCUGUUGUGAUUUUAUUAUUGACAAAUCCCAUGAAAACAGCAUAGAGAUGUUUGUCUUCUCGUCCCCACAAUGUCAGCCCUAAUCUACUUCCAAAUUUAAAGGUUGGAAAAAGGUGGUGCCACACACUGCACUGCACUGCACCAGUCGGAGUUUUGGCAACAUGUGAAUCAAAAUCUUAAACCUCAGCUACACAAUUAGGGCUGCAACCAACAAUUACUCUGAUCAGUUUGUCUAUUGAUGAAUCUUAUUUUUAAGCAUAUAUAAGGCCAGAAGAUAGUGAAAAAUGUCUGCUUUAGGUUUCAGCAGCCCAAGGUGACAUUUUAUUUAUUUAUGUCUGAAACCCAAAGAUUCAAUUUGAUGCAAUCUAUUGUCAGAUGCUGACAUUUGUGGAGUUGGAACCAGUAUUUUGAAAAACAACAAAAGUGAUUAAUUGAUGACUCAAAUAACUGCAGCUGUACACAUAGUCUCAUAACUUUGAUUGUUGCUUUUAAUGAAACUGAAUGACGUAGGGGAAGACUUGAGACUUUCAGGGAAUUUUACGAAAUUAUGCAGUUUGAAAAUGUAGCAUCCAGACAAGAAUAACCAAAACAUUUUAAUUGUUACAACAAGGUUCUUUCUUUCUUCUACCAGCAAUAGGUUAUUCGAAUUUUAACAAGUACAUUUCAGACAAAUAAAAUGCAACAACCAACAAAUCCUGCACUUUGCUGAAACCUAACAGUUGAAGUUAAAAAGAUCCUUCUUCAAAAUUCCCUAAAUUUCCUCGAACACACGAUGCUUUUGUUUUAAACUUCAGUACUGACAUUUGUAAAACACUCAAUCUGAACCCCUGAAGUGUUGGUCUGUAAACACAUAUUUUAGAAAUAUCCCUGCACUCUGGUGUGUGUUUGAUGCAGCUUCAGAUGCCAAAAGUCGAUCCAAAUUUCAGCUCAACUGCAGAACUAUUUCAAUACUGAAAAAAAAAAAAACUCAUAAAACAUGUAAUACUCUAAGGCACCACCCCUCCCUGCUGCCUGUCGCUGUCUAUUUCUAUGACUCUCGUAUGAAACGCUUCUGACAUUAAACACCUGUUAACUUUUAUGUCUUGUGAGAGGAAUGGCUGAAUGGGAGAGCAUUAUGUUCGGCGCUGGUCGGCCUGGCCAAAUCCCCAGUAGAGGAAAGACCACUCCCAGUGCAUAGAGGCAGCAGCGGGAGUGAGUGAGCCCCCUUAGCCCUGCAGCCCACGAGGAUCCCCUCACCUCAAAACCAACAGUUACCUCCAUUCCAGCUGACAGCUGCACGAAACCACCGUCUUUCUUCAGCUCUCCGCUGGAUAAGCUGCAGCGCUACCCACCAGCAGACCUGCUUAUGAGGCAAAGUAAGGAGAUGUGAGGAGGUUUGAGGCGGCUUAUGUUGUUGGUGUCUUGUGUCAUAGUCAGUUUUUUCCCUUCACAUUUCGAUGCCAGUGCAGCGUGUCCUGCCAGAAUUCAAAUAACCUGCAACACUCGCCGUGAAGAGUCCCAAACGGCACUUUAAGACUGUACGGGCAAGAUUACAUACGGUUGUAGUUAAUUUGUUGUACUAUGCAGAAAACUUUAAUUCCAUUUUAUGUCACCAUUUUGAAGGCAAAUAUUGUGCUUAUCUGACAGCUUUAUUACUUUGUAGAUUUUAAUUUUUAAUAAAAUAAAAUCAACUAGUACCUUUAGAUCUAAUAUUAUAGAUUAAGCUUCCUUCAGUUUAAGAUAUAAUUACAAUUAAACUGCAACAUUAAAGUCAUUUUUACACAUUAAAACAUACGUAGUCAUAACCCAACAAUAUAAUACACCUAAUUCUGAAAAGGGCCAUUCUGCAUAAUGAGUACUUUUACCUUAGGUACACUGAGCAUAUUUUUGAAGCUACUUCCCAUGUACUUUUACUCAAGUAAAAUUCUGAAUGCAGGACUUUUACAUACACGUGUUUCUACACUGUGGUGUAGAAACAGCAGUCAUGUGAGCAGUCGUCUCAUUGCAACAACAAC